UACAGAGGUCCCAAGCGUUGUUCGGAUUCAUUGGGCGUAAAGGGUGCGUAGGCGGCGCGGUAAGUCGGGUGUGAAAUCUCGGAGCUUAACUCCGAAACUGCAUUCGAUACUGCCGUGCUUGAGGACUGGAGAGGAGACUGGAAUUCCCGGUGUAGUGGUGAAAUGCGUAGAUAUCGGGAGGAACACCAGUGGCGAAGGCGACUUCCUGGCCUGUUCUUGACGCUGAGGCGCGAAAGCUAGGGGAGCAAACGGG
rnacentral:rRNA from 1 species